rnacentral:precursor_RNA from 15 species
UGCAUGGAAAAUAACAUUGUCAGCCGUGUCAUCGUGAGAGACAAUGGACAAUAUGCUAUGAUAAUUGUAUGGCAUUGUCCUUGGUGUUUGGCGAUAGUAUUGCUGACGUUAUCCCUCUCGUACAUGU